CACGUAGGCGGCUUUGUAAGUCGGAUGUGAAAGCCCCGGGCUUAACCUGGGAAUUGCAUCCGAAACUGCAUGGCUAGAGUAAAGGAGAGGGAAGUGGAAUUUCCGGUGUAGCGGUGAAAUGCGUAGAUAUCGGAAGGAACACCAGUGGCGAAGGCGACUUCCUGGCCUAUUACUGACGCUGAGGUGCGAAAGCGUGGGGAGGCAAAACA
rnacentral:rRNA from 1 species